rnacentral:rRNA from 1 species
CGUGAGAUGUUGGGUUAAGUCCCNCAACGAGCGCAACCCCUAUCUUUAGUUGCCAUCAGGUUGGGCNGGGCACUCUAGAGAGACUGCCGGUGACAAGCCGGAGGAAGGUGGGGAUGACGUCAAGUCCUCAUGGCCCUUAUGUCCUGGGCUACACACGUGCUACAAUGGCGGUGACAGUGGGAAGCUAGGUGGUGACACCAUGCUGAUCUCUAAAAGCCGUCUCAGUUCGGAUUGCACUCUGCAACUCGAGUGCAUGAAGGUGGAAUCGCUAGUAAUCGCGGAUCAGCAUGCCGCGGUGAAUACGUUCCCGGGUCUUGUACACAC